UUGAACGCUGGCGGCAUGCCUUACACAUGCAAGUCGAACGCGAAAGCGGGGCAACCCGCAAGUAGAGUGGCGAACGGGUGAGUAAUACAUCGGAACGUGUCCAGUAGCGGGGGAUAACCUCUCGAAAGAGAGGCUAAUACCGCAUACGACCUACGGGUGAAAGAGGGGGAUCGUAAGACCUCUCACUAUUGGAGCGGCCGAUGUCGGAUUAGCUAGUUGGCGGGGGUAACGGCCCACCAAGGCGACGAUCCGUAGCUGGUCUGAGAGGACGGCCAGCCACACUGGAACUGAGACACGGUCCAGACUCCUACGGGAGGCAGCAGUGGGGAAUUUUGGACAAUGGGCGCAAGCCUGACCCAGCCAUGCCGCGUGAGUGAAGAAGGCCUUCGGGUUGUAAAGCUCUUUCGGCGGGGACGAAACGAUUCGUGCUAACACCACGGAUCUCUGACGGUACCCGCAGAAGAAGCACCGGCUAACUACGUGCCAGCAGCCGCGGUAAUACGUAGGGUGCAGGCGUUAAUCGGAAUUACUGGGCGUAAAGCGUGCGCAGGCGGUCUCUUAAGACAGGUGUGAAAUCCCCGAGCUUAACUUGGGAAUUGCGCUUGUAACUGAGAGGCUAGAGUGUGGCAGAGGGGGGUGGAAUUCCACGUGUAGCAGUGAAAUGCGUAGAGAUGUGGAGGAACACCGAUGGCGAAGGCAGCCCCCUGGGCUAACACUGACGCUCAUGCACGAAAGCGUGGGGAGCAAACAGGAUUAGAUACCCUGGUAGUCCACGCCCUAAACUAUGUCAACUGGUUGUCGGGGAAGCAAUUCCUUGGUAACGAAGCUAACGCGUGAAGUUGACCGCCUGGGGAGUACGGCCGCAAGGUUAAAACUCAAAGGAAUUGACGGGGACCCGCACAAGCGGUGGAUUAUGUGGAUUAAUUCGAUGCAACGCGAAAAACCUUACCUACCCCUGACAUGCCAGGAACCCUCCAGAGAUGGAGGGGUGCCCGAAAGGGAACCUGGACACAGGUGCUGCAUGGCUGUCGUCAGCUCGUGUCGUGAGAUGUUGGGUUAAGUCCCGCAACGAGCGCAACCCUUGCCAUUAGUUGCCACAUUCAGUUGGGCACUCUAAUGGGACUGCCGGUGACAAACCGGAGGAAGGUGGGGAUGACGUCAAGUCCUCAUGGCCCUUAUGGGUAGGGCUUCACACGUAAUACAAUGGCCGGUACAGAGGGCAGCCAACCCGCGAGGGGGAGCUAAUCCCAGAAAGCCGGUCGUAGUCCGGAUUGCAGUCUGCAACUCGACUGCAUGAAGCCGGAAUCGCUAGUAAUCGCGGAUCAGCAUGUCGCGGUGAAUACGUUCCCGGGUCUUGUACACACCGCCCGUCACACCAUGGGAGUGGGUUUCACCAGAAGUAGUUAGCCUAACCGCAAGGAGGGCGACUACCACGGUGAGAUUCAUGACUGGGGUG
rnacentral:rRNA from 1 species